rnacentral:rRNA from 1 species
UACGGAGGGUGCGAGCGUUGUUCGGAAUUACUGGGCGUAAAGGGCUCGUAGGCGGCCGUCUAAGUCCUACGUGAAAUCCCCAGGCUUAACCUGGGAACUGCGUCGGAUACUGGCGGGCUUGAAUCCGGGAGAGGGAUGCGGAAUUCCCGGUGUAGCGGUGAAAUGCGUAGAUAUCUGGAGGAACACCGGUGGCGAAGGCGGCAUCCUGGACCGGCAUUGACGCUGAAUAGCGAAAGCCAGGGGAGCAAACGGG